rnacentral:rRNA from 1 species
GGGGAAUUUUGGACAAUGGGCGCAAGCCUGAUCCAGCCAUGCCGCGUGCAGGAUGAAGGCCUUCGGGUUGUAAACUGCUUUUGUACGGAACGAAAAGGUGCCUUCUAAUAAAGGGCGCUCAUGACGGUACCGUAAGAAUAAGCACCGGCUAACUACGUGCCAGCAGCCGCGGUAAUACGUAGGGUGCGAGCGUUAAUCGGAAUUACUGGGCGUAAAGCGUGCGCAGGCGGUUUUGUAAGACAGAGGUGAAAUCCCCGGGCUCAAUCUGGGAACUGCCUUUGUGACUGUAAGACUGGAGUGCGGCAGAGGGGGAUGGAAUUCCGCGUGUAGCAGUGAAAUGCGUAGAUAUGCGGAGGAACACCGAUGGCGAAGGCAAUCCCCUGAGCCUGCACUGACGCUCAUGCACGAAAGCGUGGGGAGCAAACA